rnacentral:rRNA from 1 species
UCGAGGGGUAACAUUGGUGCUUGCACCAGAUGACGACCGGCGCACGGGUGCGUAACGCGUAUACAAUCUGCCUUGUACUGGGGGAUAGCCUUUAGAAAUGAAGAUUAAGACCCCAUAGUAUUAUAGAUUCGCAUGAUGAAAUAAUUAAAGGUUACGGUACAAGAUGAGUAUGCGUCCUAUUAGCUAGAUGGAGUGGUAACGGCACCCCAUGGCGACGAUAGGUAGGGGCCCUGAGAGGGGGAUCCCCCACACUGGUACUGAGACACGGACCAGACUCCUACGGGAGGCAGCAGUGAGGAAUAUUGGACAAUGGGGGCAACCCUGAUCCAGCCAUGCCGCGUGCAGGAAGACUGCCCUAUGGGUUGUAAACUGCUUUUAUACGGGAAGAAACACCGCUACGUGUAGCGGCUUGACGGUACCGUAAGAAUAAGGAUCGGCUAACUCCGUGCCAGCAGCCGCGGUAAUACGGAGGAUCCAAGCGUUAUCCGGAAUCAUUGGGUUUAAAGGGUCCGUAGGUGGGCUGGUCAGUCAGAGGUGAAAUCCCACGGCUCAACCGUGGAACUGCCUUUGAUACUGCUAGUCUUGAGUUAUUAUGAAGUAGUUAGAAUAUGUAGUGUAGCGGUGAAAUGCAUAGAUAUUACAUAGAAUACCAAUUGCGAAGGCAGAUUACUAAUAAUAUACUGACACUGAUGGACGAAAGCGUAGGUAGCGAACGGGAUUAGAUACCCCGGUAGUCUACGCCGUAAACGAUGGAUACUAGCUGUCCGGCUUCGGCUGGGUGGCUAAGCGAAAGUGAUAAGUAUCCCACCUGGGGAGUACGUUCGCAAGAAUGAAACUCAAAGGAAUUGACGGGGGCCCGCACAAGCGGUGGAGCAUGUGGUUUAAUUCGAUGAUACGCGAGGAACCUUACCAGGGCUUAAAUGUAAGUUGCAUUAGCUGGAGACAGCUAUUUCUUCGGACCACUUACAAGGUGCUGCAUGGUUGUCGUCAGCUCGUGCCGUGAGGUGUCA